rnacentral:rRNA from 1 species
CCUACGGGAGACAGCAGUGAGGAAUAUUGGUCAAUGGACGAGAGUCUGAACCAGCCAAGUAGCGUGAAGGAUGACUGCCCUAUGGGUUGUAAACUUCUUUUAUAUGGGAAUAAAACAGGGUAUGCAUACCCUCUUGUAUGUACCAUAUGAAUAAGGAUCGGCUAACUCCGUGCCAGCAGCCGCGGUAAUACGGAGGAUCCGAGCGUUAUCCGGAUUUAUUGGGUUUAAAGGGAGCGUAGGUGGAUUGUUAAGUCAGUUGUGAAAGUUUGCGGCUCAACCGUAAAAUUGCCGUUGAAACUGGCAGUCUUGAGUACAGUAGAGGUGGGCGGAAUUCGUGGUGUAGCGGUGAAAUGCUUAGAUAUCACGAAGAACUCCGAUUGCGAAGGCAGCUCACUGGACUGCAACUGACACUGAUGCUCGAAAGUGUGGGUAGCAAACAGGAUUAGAUACCCCAGUAGUC